rnacentral:rRNA from 1 species
GAUGAACGCUGGCGGCGUGCCUAAUACAUGCAAGUCGAGCGAACAGACGAGGAGCUUGCUCCUCUGACGUUAGCGGCGGACGGGUGAGUAACACGUGGAUAACCUACCUAUAGGACUGGGAUAACUUCGGGAAACCGGAGCUAAUACCGGAUAAUAUAUUGAACCGCAUGGUUCAAUAGUGAAAGACGGUUUUGCUGUCACUUAUAGAUGGAUCCGCGCCGCAUUAGCUAGUUGGUAAGGUAACGGCUUACCAAGGCAACGAUGCGUAGCCGACCUGAGAGGGUGAUCGGCCACACUGGGACUGAGACACGGUCCAGACUCCUACGGGAGGCAGCAGUAGGGAAUCUUCCGCAAUGGGCGAAAGCCUGACGGAGCAACGCCGCGUGAGUGAUGAAGGUCUUCGGAUCGUAAAACUCUGUUAUUAGGGAAGAACAAAUGUGUAAGUAACUAUGCACGUCUUGACGGUACCUAAUCAGAAAGCCACGGCUAACUACGUG